GGGAAAGUGGCUCAGUGGUAGAGCGCUUGCCUUGCAUGCAAGAGGCCCUGGGUUCGAUUCCUCAGCACCA
rnacentral:tRNA from 1 species